rnacentral:rRNA from 1 species
AGCAGCCGCGGUAAUUCCAGCUCCAAUAGCGUAUAUUAAAGUUGUUGCAGUUAAAAAGCUCGUAGUUGAAUUUCGGGAUUGACACAUCGGUCGUGCCUUAAGGGGUAUGAACUGGUGUAGUCAAUUUCUCACCUUCUGGAGAACCGCGAUGCCCUUAAUUGGGUGUCACGGGGAACCAGGACCUUUACUUUGAAAAAAUUAGAGUGUUUAAAGCAGGCAUUUUGCUUGAAUACAUUAGCAUGGAAUAAUAAAAUAGGACGGCAUGAUUCUAUUUUGUUGGUUUCUAGGAUCACCGUAAUGAUUAAUAGGGAUAGUUGGGGGCAUUAGUAUUCAAUUGUCAGAGGUGAAAUUCUUGGAUUUAUUGAAGACUAACUACUGCGAAAGCAUUUGCCAAGGAUGUUUUCAUUAAUCAAGAACGAAAGUUAGGGGAUCGAAGACGAUCAGAUACCGUCGUAGUCUUAACCAUAAACUAUGCCGACUAGGAAUCAGACGAUGUUAAUUUUUAAUGACUCGUUUUGGC